GUGCAGUGAUGCAUUUUGUCAACACAUCAUUCUGAAAAGACAGGUGUGUGGAAAAUUAAUUACUGAGCACA